CCUACGGGUGGCUGCAGUGGGGAAUAUUGGACAAUGGGGGCAACCCUGAUCCAGCGACGCCGCGUGUGUGAAGAAGGCCUGCGGGUUGUAAAGCACUUUUAGUGGGGAGGAAGGUCUGCGACCUAACACGUCGUGGAAUUGACUUAACCCACAGACAAAGCACCGGCUAACUCUGUGCCAGCAGCCGCGGUAAUACAGAGGGUGCAAGCGUUAAGCGGAAUGACUGGGCGUAAUGUGUGCGUAGGCGGGUGAAAGCCCCGGGCUCAACCUGGGAAUUGCAUUCGAGACUGCGAAGCUGGAGUGCGGAAGAGGGAAGUGGAAUUUCCGGUGUAGCGGUGAAAUGCGUAGAUAUCGGAAGGAACAUCAGUGGCGAAAGCGACUUCCUGGUCCAGCACUGACGCUCAGGCACGAAAGCGUGGGGAGCAAACAGGAUUAGAUACCCCUGUAGUC
rnacentral:rRNA from 1 species